rnacentral:rRNA from 1 species
UAUGAAGGGGGCUAGCGUUGUUCGGAAUCACUGGGCGUAAAGCGCACGUAGGCGGAUUGUUAAGUCGGGGGUGAAAUCCUGAGGCUCAACCUCAGAACUGCCUUCGAUACUGGCGAUCUUGAGUCCGGAAGAGGUUGGUGGAACAGCUAGUGUAGAGGUGAAAUUCGUAGAUAUUAGCUAGAACACCAGUGGCGAAGGCGGCCAACUGGUCCGGAACUGACGCUGAGGUGCGAAAGCGUGGGGAGCAAACAGG